rnacentral:rRNA from 1 species
UUGAACGCUGGCGGCAUGCCUUACACAUGCAAGUCGAACGGUAACGGGCCUUCGGGUGCCGACGAGUGGCGAACGGGUGAGUAAUACAUCGGAACGUGCCCGAUCGUGGGGGAUAACGAGGCGAAAGCUUUGCUAAUACCGCAUACGAUCUACGGAUGAAAGCAGGGGACCGCAAGGCCUUGCGCGGACGGAGCGGCCGAUGGCAGAUUAGGGAGUUGGUGGGAUAAAAGCUUACCAAGCCGACGAUCUGUAGCUGGUCUGAGAGGAUGAUCAGCCACACUGGGACUGAGACACGGCCCAGACUCCUACGGGAGGCAGCAGUGGGGAAUUUUGGACAAUGGGCGCAAGCCUGAUCCAGCCAUGCCGCGUGCAGGAUGAAGGCCUUCGGGUUGUAAACUGCUUUUGUACGGAACGAAAAGCCUUCUUUUAAUACAGGAGGGUCAUGACGGUACCGUAAGAAUAAGCACCGGCUAACUACGUG